UAGGGAAUCUUCGGCAAUGGACGAAAGUCUGACCGAGCAACGCCGCGUGAGUGAAGAAGGUUUUCGGAUCGUAAAACUCUGUUGUUAGAGAAGAACAAGGACGUUAGUAACUGAACGUCCCCUGACGGUAUCUAACCAGAAAGCCACGGCUAACUACGUGCCAGCAGCCGCGGUAAUACGUAGGUGGCAAGCGUUGUCCGGAUUUAUUGGGCGUAAAGCGAGCGCAGGCGGUUUCUUAAGUCUGAUGUGAAAGCCCCCGGCUCAACCGGGGAGGGUCAUUGGAAACUGGGAGACUAGAGUGCAGAAGAGGAGAGUGGAAUUCCAUGUGUAGCGGUGAAAUGCGUAGAUAUAUGGAGGAACACCAGUGGCGAAGGCGGCUAUCUGGUCUGUAACUGACGCUGAGGCUCGAAAGCGUGGGGAGCAAACAGG
rnacentral:rRNA from 1 species